rnacentral:tRNA from 1 species
GAGCCCGUGGCUCAAUGGUUAGAGCGCUUGACUUCUACUCGAAAGGUCGCGGGGUCG